rnacentral:rRNA from 1 species
UACGUAGGUGGCAAGCGUUGUCCGGAUUUACUGGGCGUAAAGAGCGCGCAGGCGGUCGUUCAAGUCGCGUGUGAAAGCCCCCGGCUCAACCUGGGAAUUGCAUUCGAGACUGAAUAGCUAGGGUACGGUAGAGGGAAGUGGAAUUUCCGGUGUAGCGGUGAAAUGCGUAGAUAUCGGAAGGAACAUCAGUGGCGAAGGCAAUCCCCUGGACCUGUACUGACGCUCAUGCACGAAAGCGUGGGGAGCAAACAGG